AGAGUUUGAUCAUGGCUCAGAUUAAACGCUGGCGGCAUGCCUUACACAUGCAAGUCGAACGGCAGCACGGGGGCAACCCUGGUGGCGAGUGGCGAACGGGUGAGUAAAGCAUCGGAACGUGCCCUGGAGUGGGGGAUAACGUAGCGAAAGUUACGCUAAUACCGCAUAUUCUGUGAGCAGGAAAGCAGGGGAUCGCAAGACCUUGCGCUUUGGGAGCGGCCGAUGUCGGAUUAGCUAGUUGGUGGGUAAAGGCCUACCAAGGCGACGAUCCGUAGCGGGUCUGAGAGGAUGAUCCGCCGCACUGGGACUGAGACACGGCCCAGACUCCUACGGGAGGCAGCAGUGGGGAAUUUUGGACAAUGGGCGCAAGCCUGAUCCAGCCAUGCCGCGUGAGUGAAGAAGGCCUUCGGGUUGUAAAGCUCUUUCGGUGGGGAAGAAAUUGCACGGGUUAAUACCCUGUGCGGAUGACGGUACCGGCAUAAGAAGCACCGGCUAACUACGUG
rnacentral:rRNA from 1 species